GUAGGGUGCUAACGUUGUUCGGAAUCACUGGGCAUAAAGAGCGCGUAGGCGGUCUAAUAAGUCAGGUGUGAAAUCCCCCGGUUCAACCGGGGAACUGCACCUGAUACUGUUGGGCUUGAGUGCAGGAGGGGAGAGCGGAAUUCCUGGUGGAGCGGUGAAAUGCGUAGAUAUCAGGAGGAACGCCGGCGGCGAAAGCGGCUCUCUGGUCUGUUACUGACGCUGAGGCGCGAAAGCUAGGGGAGCAAACGGGAUUAGAUACCCCGGUAGUCCUAGCCCUAAACGAUGGGUACUAAGUAGAGGGAGCUCCGAUGUUCUCUCUGCCGGAGCUAAUGUAUUAAGUACCCCGCCUGGGGAGUAUGGUCGCAAGGCU
rnacentral:rRNA from 1 species